ACUCGCCGAGUUCACAAUCGGCAACGGCGGCGGACAGGACUUCUACGACGUCAGCCUCGUCGACGGCUACAACGUCCAGAUGGGAAUCACGACGCGAGACGGAUCAGGCGAUUGCCAAAACGUUGGAUGCGUUUCGGACCUGAACGGGAGCUGUCCGAACGAACUACGCGUUAUGGACGGAGGAAACGUUGUGGCAUGUAAGAGCGCUUGUGCGGCGUUUAACAAACCGGAAUAUUGUUGCACCGGUGCGUUCGAUAAGCCGGAGACUUGUCCGCCGACGGAUUACUCGAGGAUAUUCAAAGCAGCUUGCCCUAAAGCCUACAGCUACGCAUACGACGACGCUUCGAGCACUUUUACUUGCACCAACGCUAAUUACUCCGUCGUUUUCUGUCCCAGAUCAUAGAUACAUACAUGCAUACAUUAUCAUUUAUCACACCAUAAUUAUCAUUAUCAUCGAGUAAAAUUACAGUGGAGUCGCUGGAUGUAAUAAGAGCUUUUGCGGAAUGAGAUAAAUUCCGCAGGCUGACAUUAUAGUUAAUAAUAAAGAUACAGAAUAAAAUUUAUGAAAAAAAUCGUGUGAUUAGCUAUUUUUCUGUGGAAUGACAGCAUAAGUUCAUACUUACCAACAUAAACAUGUCUAAUAUUUAGAACUUGAAUGAUUUUAGUAUUUUACUCACCAAUAAACGCAAAAUAUCUUAAUAAAUCAUAAUUAUAUUAAUUAAUAAUAUGGUAUAUAUUUUCCUUGUACAUAACAACAAGAAAAGCCUAUUAAAAUUCCAAAUACAAUCGGGUUUCUUAUGUUAUUAUAUUCCGUAUGUUCCUAAAUAUAAGAUGUUUAAAAAAAAAUUGAUGUUUCAAUAAUAUGUAUGAGGUUCUAAUAUUUCUAGAUAAUUUUAAAUUUAUCAAAAACUAUGUAACCAAUCAUAUAGUCUAUUUGUUUCAACUAAAAUAUCUUAUAUUUAGGAACUGGGGAAGUAGUUAUUAAUUGUUUGAUCGUUGAUGCAUAGUUACGCUACUAAAUACAUGUUGCAUGGUGAUAUUCAAUUUUCUUGGUAUCUUUAUCCAAGCGCACAUGCGUUCUAUAAAAGUAAUUCACCAUGAUAUGCAUCUAUAACUAUAAGCAGCGAUUCCUGUUCUUAUACGUUUAUACUCCACUAAAGGACUAGUCAGGCAACCAAGUUGCUUUGGUCUAGUGGUAUAGGAGCUCCAGCUGGAGUGUCCGUCCUGGGUUCGAACCUUGGCCACUGCGGAAUUUACAUAUGGGCUGCAGCAUCCGAGACCGAAGACCGUUACGCGGUGAACCACCUGGUGACCUUCGGGUCCAUGCUCGCUUCGGUCUCUAAUCCGGACCACCACGGUGGAUCCAGGAUACUCGGUUAUAAAAAAAAAAAGAACUAGUCAGGCGAAAAAGAAAAGGGAGGCAGAUUCUCCCGCGAGGGUUUAUUAUAUAAGAAGGCGAGAGUAAGAGUAUGAAGUUAUAUCAAAUCUGAUUGCAGCAACAAAAGAGAGAUUGAAAAUCUUGAAUAUGUGUUUAUUGCGCAAAGAGAAGGACGUAGAUGAGUGCAUGGAGAGAGAUGAAGAGGAAGUUUGGUUGUAUGUUUUGUUUUACUCGCAACAGGCCCAUCAAUAAAUUAUGUUUCAAUCUAUAAAAUAAUGUUACUACUCAAUUUAAAACAAAAAAAAAAGGACUGAGAGAAAGGUCACAUAAAACAUAUUUACAUUGUAACAUACUAAAAUCAGAACAGAUAGUAAAUUCAAUUGGAAGCUUUAGAGAGUCAUGUUUCUUGAUUUCAGGGUCUUUUUUUGUUUGAUUGGGGGUAAUUACAUGGUUAAACAACAGAAGCAAGAAGAAACAACAUUCUACUCCUUAGCCAAAUAUCUCCGGAACGAGCUAAAACUUGCUGCAGCAAGCCACAAAUGGUUACUCAAGUUGGCAUCACUUUACUUAGAGGAUCUAUUAUUAAAGUCAGGGCUUGUUUCUUUUAGCUGAUGCAGUUAAGAUCGGUGUUUCUGGCUUCUUUGGAUUGCAACUUGCAGGCUCUCUUCAUUCUCUUUGCAGCUUGAACAAACCCCAUAAUAACUUGAGGCUCAUCCAUUUGCUGAAAGUAUCAUACAUAUUUAAAUUGUUUUAUCAGAACCAAUAUUAUAAUAACACAUGAGACGAAUCAAGUGAAGUCUGAGAAGGAUAUAGGCAUGUACCUGAGACAUAAAGUGUCUCUGAACAAUGUCAAUUAGUUGCUCCUUUGAUGGAUUUGGAAUUGCAUCCACCUACAAGGAGUUUAUUCAUGAGCAAAAGGACACAGGAGCAAGCACAUACAAAAGUAGAGUUCCAGAUUGGAUAAAGUGAAGGCUUUCUUCUUUUUUACGAGGUUGAAAUGUUGCCAAUAUUUGAGUAAAGCAGGCAUUUCCAGUUUGCUAAGAUCAACCUUCUGCGUGAAAGCAUAUUAGUACAAGAUCAGUCGCCUUAUAUUCAAUACCAAAUGGAAUAAAAUUUAUAAUAAAAAUUGAAUGCUUACCAUGUUUUGAGGGAGAGUAAAAGCAGAGCUUUUUGAUUGUGAGUCAGAUGAUAGAGACCUGCUCAGGGUCUUGUGAAAUGACCGUGAUGAUCUCUGCCCUCUUAGCUUCGACUUAUGAGGCUUCAGUGUGUCCUCGGAUGCUGGAAAAGAAACAACUUGUCAUAGAAACAAGGCUGAGAAUAUCAGUUUAAAAAGGUUACAGACAGCUUUUAUGUGUGUCCAAAGAACAAUAUGCCUCUUAGUAACUCACUGGAUACUAAAUAAAGUUAAGAAAACUCUUAUCAAAGUAUUUAUACAAUUGACAGAAUCCUUAAAUAAAAUUCAUUCCUUUUCUUUUUUGGUGGAAAUUUUGAAAAGCAGAAUCUUGAAGAAAGGCAAGGAAUCAAACUUACUCAUAUCAGAACCAUUCCUCAGUGUAUUUUCGAAAUCAAGAUCAUCGUCUACUUCAUUUCCAGUAGGAGCUUCAAGGACACUGAAUGCAUUCCUCUGCAACUUUACUUCUAUUCCAUUUGUCAACACCUAAAAAUGAUUGGGAUUAAAUAAUAUUACUCCAUAAACAAGUACUGACAGAUUCAUUUAAAUAAACUCCAGAAGAAGAAGAGCAGAUAUGACAUGUUCCCGUGUCCACGUUGGGUGGAACCCAAGCUGGGACACAACGUUCCUAAAGAAACUCCACUCUAGUCUAUUGUACACCCUGUUCAUAUCCGUUUUAACGGCCAUUGAACAGUGUCUCUUUGCUGAUGAAGUACACAAAUAAUGGAAAAUUUGAUAAGAAAUCAAUACACUGUCAGAGAUUGACCUCCUGCUACAAAGGCAAACUGAUGAAGUUGCGAUGAUCUUGCGAGGAACACACAGCUACGGGCCUAUAAUCAAUCAUAACAGUCCUCGGGCUCUUUGUCUUCGAAUUAGUCGGACACAAGUUUCGUUUUUGCCGCCUUUGAAUAGAUCCCGUUUAAAAGGUUUCAACUCUAUGUUGGACAAGUUCCAUUGGUAAAAAUGCUGCUGGGCUAACAUUUUGUUUUAAAUCUCGGAUUCAUUUGAAUAGUGUGACGAAGUGUGUUGCUUGUAGAUUUUUUUUUUUUCUAGGUUGUCCACAUAUUUUUUAUAAAACUAAAGAUUUUUACUGAUAAUUCAGUACAUAUAUAACACUUUAUUUUUUUUAGAACGUAAUCAAUACUAGCAUUUUGACGUACGUGGAAACUAAAAAAACGUAAAAUGACAAACUGAAAACGAAAUAAACUCGUACAAGAAAAUUCAACAUGUGUCGUAUGUUUUCGACGUUCGAAUAAAUACGCGAUCAUAAUGAUAGUAGAAAAGUAAGCACCAAUUGGCAAUUGCCAUAUCUACUAGCUUUUCUCGCAUAUACCCAACAUCAGUUAGCAAAAGGACACACGACUUAGACUGGCAGCAAGAAAAUUAUAAUUCAAAAAUUUCUGACGGAACAUGCUAAAACUAAAGGACAAAUUAAUGAAUCACAUAUACAAGCUUAUGUAUCAGAUGAAUCUUUAGAAAAAUGAUAUAUAAAUUUGUUGUCUUAGAUGCCUUUAAUUAAAUUUGGCUCUACCAAGGAAAUAACCAUUACAAAAGAAUAUUCAACCAGUUUAGCAAAUAAAGAAAGAAUAUUCAACCAUAUGUUACAAACUAGAUCAGAUCACAUGGUAUGUUUUUGUCAAGUCUCCCCAACCCCUGUUUUACUUACAAAGUCGUCUAUAUAUCGUUUUUUGCAUUUAUUUUUUUAUUAUGCCUGUGAAAGAACUACUUGUGGAAUUUAGUUCUGUCUGUAACUUGGUCAAAUAUUGUUUGAAGAAAUGAUAGAAUUCAUUCGGUUGCACACUUGAGAAGAUUACUAUAAAUAGAGGGAUCCGUGCCAUGAACUUACUACUACAUUCAUCAUUACACAUUCGAUUAAUACUUGAGAAUUUAAAAAAAUGGCGCGUUUCUCUGGUUUACACCUUCUCUUCUUCUCCUUCAUCAUAGCUACAGGUAUACGUACACACAUGAUACGUACACUUUGCUCUAAUCUUCUAGUAAAUCAUUAUGGUUCUUAUCAGCGUUCCGCAUAAGUUUUCACAAUACGUACUUGUUUCAUGCAUAGAAAAGGAUAUAGUACAAGUAUUUCAAAGGAUAUAUAAUACAAUCUAAUAAAACUAUAUAAGUAACUUUGAUUGUGUACUAUGCAAGGCACAGUUACCGUCGUAUCCGGCACCGUCUUCACCGUCGUGAACAGCUGCAGUUUCCCCGUCUGGCCGGGAAUCCUCACCGGAGACAACGGUGUACAACUCAACGACGGGGGAUUUGAAUUAGCCCCAGGAGCUUCCGUCGAUGUAACCGCACCUGCGGGAUGGUCUGGCCGAAUAUGGGGGCGAACGGGCUGCAACUUCGAUGGCUCCGGCGCGGGAAGUUGCCUCACCGGAGACUGCGGCAACAAACUAAAAUGCGCAGGCGCAGGAGGAGUUCCACCGGUCACACUCGCCGAAUUCACAAUCGGCACUGGUGGCGGGCAGGACAACUACGACGUAAGCCUGGUCGAUGGUUACAACAUCCAGAUGGCACUCACAACGCGUGACGGCUCAGGCGAUUGCCAAAACGGUGGAUGCGAUUCGGACCUGAACGGGAGCUGUCCGAACGACCAACGCGUUAUGGACGGAGCGAACGUUGUGGCGUGUAGGAGCGCAUGCGAGGCAUUUAAAAAGCCUGAGUAUUGUUGCACCGGUGCGUUCGAUAAACCGGAGACUUGCCCGCCGACGGAAUUGUCGAAGAUAUUUAAAGCAGCUUGCCCUAGAGCGUAUAGCUACGCUUACGACGACCGUAAUACGAGCCUUUUUACUUGCACCAAUGCUAAUUACUCCAUCGUUUUCUGUCCCAAAGCAUAGAUACAUCCAUUACCAUUAUCAUUAUUAGCAACUAGUAUUAUGUACCGUGUAAUCGCUGAAUGCAAUAAACGCUUUUGCGGGAUGUGAUAAAUUCCGCAGGCUGAUAUUAUAAGAAAUAAUAAACCUACAGAAUGAAAUUUAUGAAAAAAUAUCGUAUGAUGAUUAGUUAGUUUUAUGAGAUGGCAGAGUACUAUACUAGAGAACUACCAACAUAUAUAGCGAUAUGUUUGAUAUUCAUAGUAUUUUUAACAAUGAAUGAUUCUACUCACUCAAUUAACGCAGAUACAACAGAAAUCUUAACUGGUUAAUAACGUGAUGUGUAUUUUUUUCUCCUAAGAGCAACCUAAUUGCAAAGGUUCAUUAGUUUUGGAUAUUUCACAAUUUACAACAGAAACAAAACACUGUAUUUCUAAAUUAAUAAGAUUUUCAAAUGCUGAUAUAUGCAUCCCAAAAUAAUAUUCUUCUAGAUAAUUAACAUUGAGAACUCUAUUCAUUUAAAUAUAAUUUUGUUUUUGUUUAGUGUGAGAUACCAAAGUUAAGAACCUAGGAAUAGAAAAGCUCGAAGAAAAUAUUAUUUUUUCAUAUAUGAUUUAUCUUAUUCUAAUAAUUAAUUGUUUGGUACAUUGUUAGUGGUGGAAUACAAAUCUUUUAGUAUCUUGUUUUUUUUUUAAUCCAGAGGCACAUGCGUUCUAUAAAAGUAAUUCACCAUGCAAUGCAUCCACAUUCCUCACCAGGCUAACUUACCCUUAUCGUCAUCAUCGUCGUAUAUGAACAGCGAUUCUUGUUCGUAUACGUUUAUUCUCCAGCAAAGGACUAGUAGUCAAGCGAAGAAGAAAGGGCCGGGAGGCAGAAAAAGAGACCGCCGUGAGAGUUCUUGCAUUUAUAUAAGAAGGCGAGAGUAAGAGUAUGAAGUUAAGUCUCGAGAGUAAGAGAUGUGAUUGCAGCAAGAAAAGAGAGUAGAAAAUCUUGAAUAUAUUGUUUAUUGCGCAAAGAAAAGGACGAAGAUGAGUGCAUGGAGAGAGAUGAAGAGGAAGUUUCGUUGUAUGUCUUCUUCUACUCGCAACAGGGCUAUCAAUUAGUUAUGUUUCAAUCUAUACCAAUCGUUUUGAAACAAAAGAAAGAGUGAGAGAAGUCAUAUAAAAACAUAUUUACAAUCUAACAAACCAAGUAUCAGAACAUAUAGUAAUUUAAAUUGGGAGCUUUAGAGAGUCAUGCUUCUUGGUUUCAGGGUAAUUUGUUUUUUUUUUUACACGGCUAAACAACAGAAGCAAGAAGAAACAACAUUCUACUCCUUAGCCAAACAUCUCCAGAACGAACUAAGACUAGCUGCAGCAAGCCACAAAUGGUUAAACAAGUUUGGCAUCACUGUACUUACAGGAACUGUUAUAAAAGUCAGGGCUUGUUUCUUUUAGCUGAUGCAGUUAAGAUCGGUGUUUCUGGCUUCUUUGGAUUGCAACUUGCACGCUCUCUUCAUUCUCUUUGCUGCUUGGACAAACCCCAUAAUAACUUGAAGCUCAUCCAUUUGCUGAAAAAUAUCAUAACAUAUUUAAAUUGUUUUAUCAGAACCAAAAUUAUAAUAACACAUGAGACGAAUCAAGUGAAGUCUGAGAAGGAUAUAGGCAUGUACCUGAGACAUAAAGUGUCUCUGAACAAUGUCAAUUAGUUGCUCCUUUGAUGGAUUUGGAAUUGCAUCCACCUACAAGGAGUUUAUUCAUGAGCAAAGGACAAAGACUUCUAGAAUGAUGAGCAAAGAGAAGGUUUUCUCUUAGUUCUUAAAAUCUAACUUACGAGGUUGAAAUGUUGCCAAUAUUUCAGCAAUGCAGGCAUUUCCAGUUUGCUUAGAUCAACCUUCUGCAGAAAUCAUUUAAUCUCGCAUUAGUACAAGAUUUUUUUUUUUUUGAAAACAUUUUUUUAAACAUCACAUUAGUACAAGAUCAGUCGCAUAAUGUUCAAUAGCAAAUGGAAUAAACCUCAAAGAUUUUGAAUGCAUACCAUCAUGUUCUGAGGGGGAGUAAAAGCAGAGCUUUUUGAUUGUGACUCAGAUGAUAAAGACCUGCUCAGGGUCUUGUGAGAUGACCGUGAUGAUCUCUGCCUUCUUAGCUUCGACUUAUGAGGCUUCAGAGUGUCCUCGGAUGCUGGAAAAGAAACAACUUGUCAAAGAAACAAGGCUGAGAAUAUCAGUUUAAAAAGGUUACAUGUUAUGUGUGUCCAAAGAACAAUAUGCCUCUUAGUAACUCAGACUAAACAAAGUUAAGAAAACUCUUAUCAAAGUAUUUUUACAAUUGACAGAAUCCUUAAAUAAAACUCAUUCCUUUUCUUUUUUGGUGGAAAUUUUGGAAAGCAGAAUCUUGAAGAAAGGCAAGGAAUCAAACUUACUCAUAUCAGAACCAUUCCUCAGUGUAUUUUCGAAAUCAAGAUCAUCGUCUACUUCAUUUCCAGUAGGAGCUUCAAGGACACUGAGUGCAUUCCUCUGCAACUUUACUUCUAUUCCAUUUGUCAAUACCUAAUAAAAACAAAAAUAAACAACAAUUAUUGGGAUUAAAUAUUCUACUCCAUAAACAAGUACUGACAGAUUCAUUUAAAUAAACUCCAGAAGAAGAAGAGUAGAUAUGAUAUAUUCCCCUAUCAUUGAAAGAAACUUUAUCAUAUUUUUCCAUGGGAACUGGUGGGAAUGUGAUAUCGCAUAACUAGAAAACUAGUACUGAGAGAAAAUCGUAUAUAAUAUUCAGAUUACUCUUUAAAGUUGAAAGCCAGAAUAUGGUGAAGUUAACUCCUUUUUGGUCCACAUACACAGAGACACUAUAAACAAAAAGGAUCUUGGCAGAGCAAUUUAUAAUAUUAAACUAUAUACUAAACCAACCAGAAGAAAAAGAUUUUGAUAAAAGAAAAGUCGACAGAAAAUGACUCAACUAAACAAAAAAAAAAGCCAAAAACAAAUGAUUAUCAUUAAAAAAAGACUCUUAUUAGUCUUGAAUUUCAAAAGGCCAGCUUGAAUCCAUAGGGUGGAGAAACAUGAUGGAGAAUUAGAUAACAAGUGCACAUUUGAUAUGAUGUUUUUUUGUUCAACAGGGGCGAAAAAUAUAAAGUUGUCUUUAUUUUCUGCCUAACUCAAAAUCCCAUUAUCUCCUAUAGAUGAUUCCUGAGAUUGAGCCUGAAUCUCAGCAAGAAACAUCAAAUAGAUGCAAACAAAGUUUUAAUCAGAAAAAAACAAAAUUAAAAAAAAAAGAAAAAAUCAAUGUAGGCUUCAUGAAUAACCUAACAACUAAAGAACACCAAAAGCAAGGUUGAACAGUUGUAAGAAAGCCAGUAAAACAAUAAUGGUAAACUUAAAUACCAACAUGCAUGCAAAGACGCUCAAUCGAGGAGAAACAUUACAACUACUUAAAUGAAUCUGUAAACUAAUAAAUCGAAGCUCAUUGAUGAUAUAUCAUUUAAGUAAAGACAUUUCCCAGAAACUAAAUCAUAUCCAGAAAUUCAAGAAAAAGAAAAAACCCAAAUUCGAAAACUUUACAGAUUCAAUAGAUUGAAUUCAAAUUUGAUAAAUCUAGAGUAAACCCAGAUUGGAUCGAAACGUUUUUCACUUACUAAAAAAAAUCUAAAGAUUGAAACUUUGGUUCACUAACCAGCCAAUGCCAACCACCAAGACCGACAGCUUUUUUGACAACACCUUGAAGACCAACAAGCACCGAUUUGGUUCGGUUGUUUCCGGUCACCACCACUUUAGUAUGACGUGGCAGAACAGUUAACUCCUCUUCGCUGCUGCUGUCUCCGCAAAAGCUCUUUACUUGACGAAAUCCUCCAUUAACGACUCCCGAGCUAUCCACAGUCUCCAGCAUUCUUCUUGUCUAAUUAGAUUAAGUCUCAGGGGAAAACAAAGAUUCUGAAUUUCAGCUCUCCACACUGCUACAAGAUCGAAGAUCAUGCAUUGCCAGAGAGUGAAAGUUAGAUGAUCUCCAAGGAGAUAUUGAAAAUGUAAAAAAAUUAUUAGGGUUGUUCCACAAGAAGAAGCAGAGAGAGAGAGAGAGAGAGAGAAACAGAGUAAAGAGGAGGAGGAAGCGAGGGAAAUAGAAGAGAGAGAGAGGGUGAUGAUAGCGACCGGCUCCGAACACGUUGACCAAUUAAAACUCGCCACGUAAGCAUUGUACUGACACUAUAUGCGUUAUGCAGAAACAGAACCGGUUUUUUCAAAAAAAUUCUUUGGAUUUUUUUAACCGAAGGUUACUUUUCGUAAUUUUAGACACGCGAUUGACCUGAAUGGUUGACUGGUGUUUAAUAAAGACAGGCAUGAAUGGGACCCAUUUCGUUGUAAAUUACGCUUGUAUCCUUCUUCAUGUCACUUUUUUCCUUUGUUUGAAUUUUAGUUUGCCUCUGUCCUUAUCUAUAAGUUUUCUCUUUUAGUAUAAUGGUUCUCUCUUUGGUAGAAUUUUUUUCUUUUUUAAUGUUUUUUUUUGGUUGUUGUAAAACUAUGUUCUGUAAUCAGAAAAAAUAAAAGAAUCCAAGGAAACAAUUGCUGGUUUAGAAUAUAUAUCAGUGAAAUUAAUGGAACACAUGCAUCAAAAUAAGCAGUUUACAAUAAUUAUAAACUCAUUUAAUGACUAAAAACCUUUAUUAAAUGAUAACUCUGUUUUAUUUCAAGAAGUAGAAUGGUUUGUAAAAUUAUAAAUCAAUACGACUCUUUAAAUAUCAUGGUGUUGUUAAGAAAAAUAAUACAACGGAUACAUGUUUCAAAAAAUAGAUUGGUCCUAUGCCAUUUUAAUUUUUUUUAAAAUUAGUGACAAAAUUUUUAAAAUCAAACCUUUAAUAUGUAAAAACUAAAAAUUUAGGACCCUAAAUAAUAAAUAAUUUUUGGCUAAAAAUGUGGGACUUUGUGCAUAUGCACUCUUUGCACUCCCCUUGAAUUAUUACUGUAUGAAUAUAAAAACGAAAUUUAAUAUUAUAAUUAGAAAAUCUCAAACCAAGUAAUACAACAAAUCAUAACAGUAUUAAUAUCUAAUAAUUUUUAAACAUUAGCAAUGCGGAGGAAAAAUAUUAACAUCUAAUAGUUUUAAAACUUUUAAAGCAAUUAAGUAACAAAUGUAAUUAUUUGUUGACUGAAUUUUGCAGAAAAUAAUUUCUUUACUUUUUUCUUAUAAUUGUUUUAUUUAGUUUGAUUAUGGAAGAUUAAUUGAAAACCUGUUGAUAGUGAUGUUACGAAAGGUCCUUAAACCAAAUCAGCAGCCAUCAAGCUAUGUUUUUGUGCGUAUGAAUUAAUUUAUUACUAAUUUAAAAAGAGAAAUGGUUUUUUUACUUUUUACUAUGUAAAAUUACACAGCUUUAAAUCAAUUAUUUGUCCAUAACUUUUACGGGGUCACUGAUUGUCAUAGUCACAGUUUACAAAGGCCACCCCCACAAAUAAAACAAACCGUCCCCAUAUUUGGGGAAACUAUCAAAGCGACCCCUCACCAAACCCUUGCUUCAAUUAUUCACAGCUUUUAAUGCUUACCAUCUCCCUCCCUCCUUCCCUCCCAUCAAAAAAUCAAAUUCUUAAAACAUAAAAAGCUAUAAAUAAACCUAGGGACCAAAAUGGGCCUUUUGCUUGUUUGAAUUAAAUGAACACAAUCUGUUAGUUCACCGGCAAUCUUUUGAAGGAUUAAAUGUAAACAUUCAAAAGCCCAGGGUUAAUUAUGACCAGUUGUAAAAACUCAAGGGGCUUAUAAGAAAAGUGUAUAAAAGUAUCGUUCUUGGAGGGUUUUGUUUGAAGCAGAAGAAGAGAGUUAAACAGCCGUUAAUGGCGAAACCUGAUCAGCUAGCUCGCUUCCUUGAUUCAGGUAUCUACGAAUCCGAAGAUUCUAAAUGGUUCUUCUUAGACCCAGUUCGUAUAAUCAACCGUUCGUACACUCGAUAUAGGGUUUCACCUUGUGCUUACUACUCUCGUUGCUUCAACUCAAAGCAUCUCAAUCCACAACAACCAAACGAACCUCCUAAUACGAGAAAGCGUAAACGGAAUAAGCAGAAAAACCCUAGCUUUCACCUUCCUAACACAGCAGAGCAAGCUUCUAAUCUCCGCCAUCAGGAGGCGAGGCUGUUUUUAUCGGAAGCGUAUGAAUCGCUUUUGGAGGAAACCGAGUUGUUAAGUUUAGUAAAGAGUCUAAGUGAUGAUGAUGGUUUGUUGAGGACCAAGUGUUGUGAGGAUGAAGUCUCUUUUGUUGAGCUUGGAGGAGUGUGGCAAGCUCCUCUGUACGAGAUAACACUGAGUUGUGACGAUAACAAAGGUUUUGUCUUCCUCUAUAUCUUUAUCUGAAAAACAAUGAAUUUGAUAAUGUGGUCUUAAUUGGUUGCUGCUCAAUAGAGAAGUGCAGUGAAGAGAGAGUGUUUAAGGUGUUCAAUAAUCUAGUAGUGAACGAGACAGAAGAAGACAUUGAUGCUGAGUUUUCCAACAGGAGAUAUAUAAUGCCUAGAAAGAGCUGCUUCUACAUGGUUUGUGCUAAUUUAUGAUUGCUCUCUAAAGAUUGAAUUUUUAUUUGACUAAGCUGAUGUGUGAUAUGGUUCUUCUCGUGUUUUCAUGUUGCCUUGAAGUCUGAUUUACUGCACCUCCGAAACCUUGUUCCUGGUAACUAUUGUGAUUUAUUGCUGCUUUAGAGUAAAGUCCCUUGUAGAACGAUCAGUCAUGACCAUAUCAGUAGGCGACUUUGAGCCUAGUUAUGUAUUUAUCUUAUUGACGUUAUAUGUGCAGCUAAAUAUGAAGAAGGCUUCAAUCUUAUAGUUAUUGAUCCGCCCUGGGAGAAUGCAAGCGCUCAUCAGAAGUCAAAGUUUGUUCUUCCUGCCUCUGUUAUAUAAUAUGUUAAUAUCGACUUGAGGAAUAGAUUGUUUAUUGUAUUUGAAUGAGAGUUCAUGAGACAUGUUUUUUUUUUUGGGUCUUGUUUUAGGUAUCCGACUUUACCAAACAGAUACUUCUUAUCCCUCCCAGUCAAACAGCUUACUCAUGCUGAAGGAGCUCUUGUGGCUUUAUGGGUGACCAAUAGAGAGAAAUUACUUAACUUUGUUGAGAAAGAGCUAUUCCCUGCGUGGGGAGUUAAGUACGCAGCUACUAUGUAUUGGUUAAAGGUUGAUCCCAACUUGCACCUCUUGAUUUCUGAGUUUGGGUACAUGAUUUGAACUUUUCUCACGUUGUCUAUGUAAAAAUGUUAUAGGUGAAACCAGACGGUACAAUGAUUUGCGAUCUGGACCUGGUCCAUCAUAAACCUUAUGAAUAUCUAAUACUAGGCUACCGCUUUACCGAGGUAAGUUUGUCAAUUAUUGUCUUUGUUACUUGGAUAAUCUGCAAACUGAGCUUCUGUUUCUAUGUUACAGCUUGCAGAAUCAAAACACAGGUCAGAUUUUGAACUCUUGGAUAAGAACAAAAUAAUCAUAAGCAUCCCUGGAGAUUUUUCGAGGAAACCCCCAAUUGGAGGUAUAUUUCUACAUCUUUGUUUUACAAUCUUCAUCAAAUUCCAGAGCUUAAUGCAGUUUAUUAAAUUUUAGCUGUACAAGUUCCCUGAUUCUCCUUUUCACUUGGACUUUUGUGUAGAGAUACUAAAGAAACAUGUUCCCGGGUCUCAACCAGCUCGGUGUCUUGAGCUAUUUGCUAGAGAAAUGGCAGCUGGAUGGACCUCUUGGGGAAACGAACCGCUUCACUUCCAAGACUCGAGAUACUUCUUGAAAGAUUAAUGGGUGCAUUAACAAACAUUUUUUAACCAGAAGAAGCGUGGCUUGGGCCAAUUUUCAUUGUGGGGAUACAGUGAGGAGACCUUCGGCUAGCGCUAGAAGGUCUUGCCGACCGUUAAAAUAAAGACGAAGCCUGAAAGAGCUACAGUUAGAUUAUUGUCUGAAAGAGUCAGAACUGUACCAUCAUUUUUCUUUUGACAUCAUUGUUACCAUCAAUUUAGUAAAGCUAAUUUUUUCUCCUGUCACGGCAGAUGUUUCAGAGAAAAAUAAGAUAUCAUCAGUAGAGUAAGAUCACAUACUGUAUUAAUAUCACAAUUUAUUAGAAUUUCAAUUCUUUUUAAAAUAUACACCAUGAAUAACUAAAAGCAAAAGCGUGUAAAAUGAAUUCAAUAAAUGUCUACUCGUUGGAAGAUCAUAUCUGCUUUGAUGGGUCAAUGUGUGGGGCAAAUCCACUAUCCCAUUUUCCUAUUAUGUUCAAUGAACUAUACAGUUUUUUUUAAAACAUGAAAAUUAAAGAAAAUCAAGACCAAUGAAUGGAAGGGCCACAACAAUAAUUCCAAGUAUAGUUGAUUGUCACAGCAAUCAAAUAAUAUGCUUACAAAUAUCAACGAUAUAAUAAUCCAACCAUAAACGGUUUCAAGUUUGUCUUUGUAAAUCAAAUAUUAAACCUGACAUUAGCUUAUGAUAUGGUAAAUAUAGAUUAGAGAACGUGAGUCUUAUUAGGAUGAAACACAAUACAAUAUAUAAGUGUAGAGAGCUCUCUAUGUCUAGGUUAAUAUGAUUUACAUAAGUAUCCUUUCCAUAUAUAUAUCUAUCCUUGAUACGCCCCCUCAAGAUGGAGGAACUCUUGUUACUCCAAUCUUGGACGUGGCUUGAAGGAAUUGUUGUCUGCUCAAUGGCUUUGUGAACGCAUCUGCCAAUUGAUCCUUUGUUGAGACGUGUGCUACGCGAACAAUCCCAAGCUGAAUCAUGUUCCGGAUAAAGUGAUAAUCAAUAGCAAUGUGUUUCAUCCUUGAGUGAAACACCGGAUUAGCACAGAGAUAUGUAGCACCAACAUUAUCACAAUAGAUGACUGGAGAGACAGAUAAUUUGAUACCAAGUUCUUGAAGUAGCGAGCAUAACCAUCGAACUUCAGAUGCAGUGUUCGCAACUGCUCUGUAUUCUGCUUCGGUAGAUGAUCGAGCAACUCCAUUCUGCUUCUUGGAGGACCAUGAAACCGGCGUAGACCCAAGAUAGAUGACAUAUGCAUUGGUGGAUACAUAAUCAUCACUGUCACCUGCCCAAUCUGCAUCCGUGAAAGCAUGGAGAGUUAGCGGCGAGCCUUUCUUCAUGUAGAUGCCAUGGCUUGGAGUCCCUGCCAAAUAUCUCAAUACACGCUUAGCUGCUUGCCAGUGACACUCGGUCGGUUGAUGCAUAAACUGGGAUAAUCUGUUGACUGCAUAGGAAAUGUCCGGCCUUGUGAACGCCAGAUAUUGUAAACUUCCAACAAUAGACCGAUACUGAGACGCAUCAGACAGAGGAGGACUGUCCUUCAAAGUUAACUUUGGGGUAGUCUGCAUUGGAGUAGAGACUGUCUUGGCAUCCAACAUGUUAGUGCGACCAAGCAAGUCAAGAAUAUACCUCCGCUGCAUAAGAUGAAGACCUGUAGCAGACCGUGUGACCUCGAUGCCCAAGAAGUAAUGCAAAUCCACUGGAUCUUUUAUAGAAAACCGAGAUGCAAGAGAAUUCAAAACCUCAGAGACACGCUGUUGACUACUACCUGUCACAAUUAUAUCAUCCACAUAUACAAGUAUAUAUGUAUGAUGAUCACCAGUGUGAUGAAUAAACAGUGACGUAUCAGCCAUAGAACUUUGAAAUCCAAUAUCUAGCAGAUGCUUCUUCAACGACAGAUACCAUGCCCGUGGUGCCUGUUUCAGACCAUAAAUUGGUUUCUUCAACUUACAUACAUGGUGUGGUCGAUCAAUAUCAACAAACCCCGGUGGCUGAGUCAUGUAAACUUCCUCCUGCAACUAGCCUUGUAGAAAUGCGUUGUUGACAUCUAGUUGUUUAAGCGGCCAUCCUUGAGUGACUGCAAUAUCCAACACCAAACGAAUCGUAGUCGACUUAAUGACUGGGCUAAAAGUCUCACUGUAGUCGACGCCAUACUGUUGUGUGUGACCACGCGCUACUAAACGAGCUUUAGGUCUGUCCUCCUCACCAUUGGCUAAGUACUUUGUUGUGUAUAUCCACCGGCAAGUGACCAAGUUCUGAGACGGAUGAGACUGUACCAAAUCCCAUGUUCCGUACUCAAUCUGCGCAUCAUACUCCUUUGACAUUGCCUUCCUCCAGCGUUCAUCUUUGAGAGCUUGAGCUACAGUACGUGGCUCCCGAGUAGACUGUUUCCCAGAGACAAUGAGACUGAAUUUAGAGUUUGGUUUCACAAUCCUGUUCUUUGCUCUUGUCUGCAUCUGAUGUUGGUUCUGUGGGGGUUGAUUCUGUUCGUCGUCAGGAUUUUGUGGGUUAAGGGAAGUUUGGUCAUUUUGCGGUGACUGAAUUUGUGGUUCAUUGGCUGGAGAGACACGAGUCGGAGAGUGUGGUGGUGAUGAAGUUGGAUGUGGAGAAUCAUGGGUUUCAUUUAUUUGGUGAGUGGGCUGGGCCGUGGGUUGCGGCCCAUUUUGAUUUGGAGCAGUGGGCUCAGAGUUGGGGGGGGAAGAGAGAGAUCGAGAGUCAGAGGAAGGAGACGAUACCUGAGCUUGUUGGAACGGCGACUGUGGCAAUGCGGGGUGAGAAUCCGAACACGGGGAUGAAGAUUGUUGUCGGGAGGACGAGGUCUGAAGAGGCACACGUAUAAUAGGAGGUUGGUAAGGCCCAUCUGAGGUUCCUUCUUCAGACGUGGAGCUUGGAAUACCAGUGGAGCUAUAUGUUGCAAAGGGGAAGACAGACUCUUGGAACGCAACAUGUCUGGAGGUGUAGAGCCGCAUCGUGGGCAAGUGCAGACAGAAGUAAGCACUCUGAGUUGUCGAAUAGCCCAGAAACACACACGGCUUCGAUCGAUCUUCCAUCUUAUUUUGAGUAUACGGACGCAGCCACGGAAAGCACUGACAACCAAAUACUCGAAGACGGUUAUAGUUAGGAGCUUUGUUGAACAGCUUCUGAUAUGGCGAUUGCAAAUCAAGGUUCGGAGUAGGCAUUCUGUUAAUCAAAUAGAUGGCAGCCGCAAAAGCGAAUGUCCAAUACUCCUUAGGCAUCAUUGCCUGAGUCAUUAACGUGAGGCCUGUCUCGACGACAUGUCUGUGUUUCCGUUCUGCCACACCGUUGUGCUCCGGCGUAUGCGGCGGUGAAGUGAGAUGAGAGAUACCAUGUUCCUGAAGGUACGCUUUCAAUGCCAGAAACUCCCCUCCAUUAUCAGAAAAUAAAGUUCCAAUUUUGUGCUGAAACCUGUUCUCAACUAGUUUCUUGUAGGCUACAAAGACCUCUUUGACUUGGGAUUUUAAUUUGAUAGGGUAAAGCCAUGUAUAUCUGGUAUAAUGAUCAACAAGAAUGAGGUAGUAUUUAAACUGAUCUGUUGAGAGAAUAGGAGAUGACCAUACGUCAGAAAAGAUAAUCUCAAGAGCUCUUGUUGAAGUUAUACUAGAAGAAGAAAAUGAAAGUUUAUGGCUUUUAUUAAUCAAACAAUCUGAGCAAGACAAAAAUUUCUGAGAAAGCUGAGAAACAGGAAAAGAAAACUGAGAAAUUGUUUUGUUUAGAAUAGAGAUAGAUGGAUGUCCCAAGCGGGAAUGCCAAGAGGAUAAUGUAGCCUUAGAAGAUGGUGAAGCAAACAUAGCCGUAGGUACUGAGAUUCCUAUCGGCCAUUGAUAUAGUUGAGCCUUAGUUUUGCCUUGGAUUAACCGGGUCCCCGUGUUCAGAUCCUUCACCUGAAAUGAGGAAGGAAAGAAUUCCACAGAUACUUGAUUAGUAUUACACAAACCAUAAACUGAGAUGAGGUUCUUGUUAAUCUUAGGAACACACAAAACAUCACUUAGUACGAUAUUUUUAUUUUGAGAGGGAAGCGUAAGAGAACCCGUGUGUGUUAUAGACUGAUUUGAACCAUCGGCAAUGAUGACAGCCUCACCUCCUUCAUAUGGUUGAUGUAGUUGCAGGUUCUGCAGGUCUGAAGUGAUGUGAUGUGUUGCCCCACUAUCAAGUAACCAGUUGUUAGCAGUGUACGGAUUUGCGGUGGCGACAUUAGCCCUCGGUUGACCCUGCCAUGGCAUGAAAGGAGACUGAGCAGCUGCUUGGUAUGUCUGAAGCUGAGGACAUCGUUUUGCCCCAUGGCCUUGAGUUCCACAGAUCUGACAUUUGCCAAGGUAUGGUCUUGAUGCACGAGGUUGCUGCUGCCAAUUGAAGUUGUUGGACUGUGGCCUCUGCUGAUUGUUGUAGUAGUUGUUGUGGUUCUUGUUCUUGUUUUGAUAAGAACCUUGACCUUUCUGUUGCACCAUAUUCGCAGAAACAGGAAUGAUGGACGAGCCAGCUGUAGAGGCGAGUUUGGCCUCAUGGUGCAGCAGCUUCUCAUGUAUCUCAGUGAGAGUUGGAGGUGUCUCACGACCUUCAAUCUGAUCAAUAACAGGAUUGUAUUCAUCAGGUAAGCCCUCAAGGAGUGCAUCAAUUUGAUCUUCAUGAUCCAUAGGUUUUCCGAGAAUAGCUAGUUGAUCCACGCGUGUAGUGAUGCCUUGAACAAAGACAUCAAUCGUCUUGCUUUCUUUCUUCCACAGCUUGAGUUGAUUCCUCAAAUUUUUGAUGUGGGCACGACUUGGUUUAGCGUAGGUGGAUGCUAGAGUCUCCCAAACUUGAGCAGCCGUGAGUGCUCUUGACACCAACGGUUGAAUCGGGAGAGUGAUUGCACCUAGCAAGGCACUGUAGAUCAAUCGAUCUUGCCUUUUCCAGAUCGUGUAGUCUGGAUUGGGGUUGGUUUCACCAUCAACAGUGACUUCAGGCGGCGGUGUCACAGUUGAUCCAUCAAGAUGACCGAUAAGGCCAUAACCAUCGAUCAAAGCGUGGACUUGAAGACUCCACAUGAGGUAGUUUGUGGUCGAGAGUUUUGAAACAUUUGACAUGUUUAUGUUGAGAAUGGUUUGAUUGCUUGGGUUGGUGUUUAUGGUUUCGGUGAAUGUUGUAGAAUUGUUAGGAGACGCCAUGAUAGAUGAGAAAAGAAGUUAGAAUUUUUGGAGAAGAGAGUUUUAGGUUUUUAGAAGCGACGGCUCUGAUACCAUAUAGAUUAGAGAACGUGAGUCUUAUUAGGAUGAAACACAAUACAAUAUAUAAGUGUAGAGAGCUCUCUAUGUCUAGGUUAAUAUGAUUUACAUAAGUAUCCUUUCCAUAUAUAUAUCUAUCCUUGAUAGUAAAUACGUUUGUACAAAAUCAGAGAUUAGCUUAUGAUAAGCAAAUGUGGAACUAUAUAUAUGGAGGUGGCUUUCCAAAUUUUAUAAAUAUACUCCAUAACUACAUAAGGGUUUAGUGUAAAGAUGGCAGCUUAAUCAUCUAUCGGAAUCCAAUUUGCAUAUUUUGUUUUCACAAUAUUAUCAAUUAAAAUUUUUAAAAUUUUGUGAGAAAGCAAACAAAGUAAAAAGAAAAAGAUAGCAAUCAUUAGAUAGCACAUGAUAAUAUUUACAUACAGCACUAAUCAGGACAAAAGUGAGCAUUUCUUUUGUUUUUGUUUCACACUAUAGGCUCUAUAGUGACAAUUAAUUUCUAAUUAAAAUAAAAAAUCACUAAAUAUUAUGAGGCUUAAAUUAAUUUGUUUUCUAUCGUGAGAUAGAUACAAGAAAAAAAAGUUUCCCAUUUGCAGAGAGAAAAGGAAGAGAGAUACAGCCGCCCCUGCUCCUCCCUACAAGUCAAGACCUGUAUCUUUUCCGGUGACCGGCGCGUGGCGGCUCUGUUAGCGCCACCGCCGGUCAAAUCCUUCAUAGUUUCUCGUCCUUUAGGUGUUGUUCUUUUCUGUGUUUAGAUCUGUCCAGUUUUCGGGUUGAUUGUCUUGAGAGCUCGUGGCUUGGAAUGGUUUGUCAGAUUUUCCGUGAGUCCCGUUGUAUGCUGAAGCCAUUGUUCUUUAUUUUGUUUAUGCGGCUAUGGCCGUGGUUGGUUUUGGCUGCACAUGGUUUCGUCUAGAUCUAGAACAAACCCUUCACUGGUUUGCGUGUCCGUUCAAGUUUGUCUUACCCAAAUCUCUUCUUUCGUGUCCAAGGAGUUUGGUGUAGUGAGUUUCACAGCUCGGUCUAUCUAGUGGAAUGGUGUUGUUGGUUUAUUCUUUAUAGGGAGGUUCGUGGCUUUACUAGUGGGUUCCUAAGCUUGCAAUUUUUCGGUUCCUUGGUAGUGAUUUGAACGCUAUCCUGUCCUUUGUUGCCGCUUUCUUUCUGUUUCGGUGGGUUUUGGCGGGUUUAGACUUCGUUGGUCUCCAGAUCUGUUGAGAUUGGAGUGGUCUUUGUAGGGCUUUUAUUGAGGCGUUGUUUGGUCGCAUGAAGUGCGUCACCGCCGUAUCCGGAAGUGUGCGUGACCCUAGAGUGGUUCUAUCUUGCCGGGUUAUAAAGUCUGGGUUCUUUGGUUUAGAGAGGAGUGCUCUCUGUUGGUAGAAGUUGAUGUUAUCGUUCGGUGGGCCGUGGGCGACAACGAUAAAUCUCGUUCAGAGUUCAGAAGUGUUUGGAUGUAUCGAGAUGUUGCAAGCUGAAGGUGUUAGUUCCUCUAUGAGGUUUUGAAUUUCCUUAUUUUGGAUUUGUAUUGUAAGCUACCCCGAUGUGGGUUUCAGUCGCCUGUUUCUUAGGCUCUUGUUGCUGGGGAUUUCUUGUUUUUCCGCCAGUUUAGGUAUCAAACAUUGUAAUCGUUGCUUCGAAUGAAUUUUAUCAGACGGAAAAAAAAAAAAUUAAUUUGUUUUCUAUUAACAUGUCCCAGAAACCAAUCAGGUGGGGUGUUCCACGGUCAUACUAUCAAGGGACCCAUUUCAAUUAACCGGACCCCACAUGUCUCUCCUCUCUUCUCUUUAUAAUCUGGUCAUUUUACACAGAUCGAGAGAAACACACAUAAACGUACUGCUUCAGCUGAUUCACUGCGCAAAACCACACCGUAAGUUACGUACGCCACAGGUAAUUUCACCAUUCGUCAAAAACUAGAUAGACACGUGGCCAAUUUACGUCAAAACACAAUCAUCCAGUUUUUUGCUUUUUUUAAUUUAUUUAAUAAUGGGAAAGAUUCUUUGCAUCAUUCCAGCGAAGAGAGAAAAAGCGGCUUCCUCGUGAGCACUAACUCCUCUCCCUCUUUCCGAAGGUGGUUGAGAGAAGAAGAUGACGUCUGACGGUGCGACGUCGACGUCAGCAGCAGCAGCAGCAGCGUUGGCGACGAGGAGGAAGCCGUCGUGGAGAGAGAGGGAGAACAACAGGAGGAGGGAGAGGAGGAGAAGAGCCGUAGCUGCGAAGAUCUAUAACGGUCUUCGAGCUCAAGGUAACUACAAUCUCCCAAAGCACUGCGACAACAACGAAGUCCUCAAGGCUCUUUGUUCCGAAGCUGGUUGGGUGGUUGAAGAAGACGGAACCACUUAUCGCAAGGUAUACCUAUUAGAUCUGACCUUAUAUAUAUGUCUGAAAGUUUCUAAAAAUGGAUCUAGUUACUAUAUUUAGAUCUCUUCAUUGGUUAAAUUUUCUUUGACCGUCAGGGACAUAAGCCUCUUCCUGGUGAUAUGGCUGGAUCAUCCUCUCGAGCCACUCCUUACUCCUCUUCUUAUAACCAAAGUCCUUUCGAGAGUCCCAUCCUUUCUUACCAAGUCAGUCCAUCGUCGUCUUCAUUCCCUAGCCCUUCUCGUGGCGACAACAUCUCCACCAUCUUCCCUUUCCUCAGGAACGGGGGGAUCCCUUCGUCGCUUCCUCCUCUCAGAAUCUCAAACAGUGCUCCCGUCACUCCACCUGUCUCUUCACCAACCUCUAAGCACCCCAAGCCGUUACCUACUUGGGAGUCUUUUACCAAACAGUCCAUGGCCAUUGCUGCUAAACAGUCAAUGUCUUCUUUUAACUACCCGUUCUACGCGGUAUCUGCGCCUGCGAGUCCCACUCAUCAUCGCCAGUUCAAUGCUCCGGCUACUAUACCUGAAUGUGAUGAGUCUGACGCCUCAACUGUUGAUUCUGGUCAUUGGAUAAGCUUUCAGAAGUUCUCACAACAGCAACAGCCUUUCCAUGGGGUGUCGUCUGCAGUGCCGGCUUCUCCUACUUUCAACCUAGUGAAACCACCAGUGCCUCAGCGGCUAUCUCCAAACACUGCGGGAAUCCAAGAGAUUGGUCAAAGCUCGGAGUUUAAAUUUGAGAACAGGCAAGUUACGCCGUGGGAAGGGGAGAGGAUCCAUGAUGUGGCUAUGGAGGAUCUGGAGCUCACACUUGGAAACACCAAAGGUCGUUAGUUGAUAUAUGAAGAACAAAAGGACCUGUUGUGGCAUGUUGGAGUGUUAGUGUGUUGUUCAGUUCUUGGUUCUGGUUCUUGUACUAGAAUCGAUAUUCAUAGUACCAGUAAGAGUUUGUUUCACAUUGCAUUAUUUUGUAGAUAGACUGUGUAAGGUGUUAUGUUUCUAUUAUGUAUCAUUCCUUUUAGAGUCUUGUAAGACAUUACAAAUAUUUUAAUAUGAUUUGGCUUGAAUUUGAGACAUAGCUAAGGAUGAAACAGAGAGAACAAUGUGGAAGAAAAAGGAUUCAUCAUGUAAAAAGAACAGAGUUGUAAAGAAAAAAGACUUGAGAUUUUAGUCAUAAGUUACACAAAAUUCAUAAUACAAAAAAAGAAGGCAGAUGACAUGAAGCAUUAAACAUGAAAACUAUAAAGGAAAAGUAAAAUUAGAAUCACGAAACGUCAAGAAACUGUGAAACUUUUGAGCCUACCCCUGCUUUUUCAGGUGAAUGAAUCAUUCAGAACCAUCAGGGAAGCUAUCAAGUGCGUCUUGCUUACCGUUUACAUAGAACUCAACGACAGCUUGCAUUCUAUUAAGCUUAUCUGGAUGGUAAUUCACAUGAACAAUCACCGGCUUCACCUUCUUCUUCAGUUCCUGAUCCUUCCUAACAGUCUUGAAAAGCACCUUACUGUUCAUAAACUCAUACAUAUCCAUGACUCUCUUCGAAGCAUGGAGCCCAAUGUAGUCAGGAUGCGAAGGAUAAAACAACUCCUCAUUAAAAACCGCUUGGUCCCAUAGUUUAGCCUUGGAGAGCCUAUCCGCUACACGAUCCAGCAGCUCGAUGGAUGGAACCGUUGGUCUUAGAUAGAAAAACCCGGAAUUGAAAACCCAUAUCCUCAUGGUGUGAGCAUACCGAGCCCAUCCCAUGGCUGGCUCAUCAAACACAUCGUUGAAUCCGUAAGCCGUCAUGUUGCUAUGCCCAUCGCUCAUCGACUCAACGUCAGAGUCUCUGUACAGAUGCCUAAACGGGUUCUGCAAGAAGACAAUGUCCACAUCCGAGAGGAGAACGCCGUACCCGAGCUGCAAGAACUCUCUCAACACACGGAACUUAAGUCCAGAGACAGCGUGGUUACCUCCGGUUUUCCCGACCGUGUCCACGUCCUUGUCCGGAUCCCUCUUGUAAUAAGCAACAUCGUUUGAUUUACAGAAGUUCUCAAUGUAAUCGUCCAACGCAACGACAAGGUAGUUAGUGAUACCCAAUCUCUUCACGCUAGCGAUCUGAACCUCUAGCAUUGCUUUGACGUUAGAGUUUGCGAGAGCCACGAUCACCUCUUUGUCGACAGCGAUGUCCUCUAGAAUCUUAGCUAGUCUCGGGUUUACGGAUUCAUCGGGGAGGAUGGUUGGAUUAGUUCUCAAACUCUUGACUGUUCCGAAAGGACCAGCCUUGAUCUGUGGUCCUAAAGACAGAACUUGUUUUCUUGCAUUGUCUGAUCCUUGCUCAGCUAAACGCAGCUUCUCCGUUAGCUCCCUGAUCUGUUUCUUCAGCUCAGCGUUCUUCUCAGAGAGAGAUGCGAAGUCUGAUUUCAGCAUCUUGAUCCGUGCGGGGGAUUCACAAGAAGAUGAUCCAACCUGAAACAAAGAAAGUAAUGAACUUUCACCAAGUCAACUACAACCUCAAACUAAUCUCUAACAAACACAACAUCAAGAGAAAAGUUUUCAUUUUUAUUACACAACACAUUGCAACUUAAGACCUAUAAUGGGUGAGACUAGCGCAGGGGAUUCUCAAUUCAGGUCAAAUCAAUCUAUGUAACUUGUUCUAUACGUUUUAGGGCGCAAGAUCGAGUACCUGGACGCGUUCAUUAACUGUAAGAGACGAGCUCGAGUUGAAGAAGCCGUUGGGGAACAGAACGGCGCAAACGCAGCCGAUGAUGAUACCGAUGAGGAUGGCGAUCGCGAUUCGAGAUCCACGGAGCUGUUGGGUUCUGUCUCUACGACCAGCCAUGGCCGUUGACUUUCUCUGAUCCGGAGACGCAGAAGCUAAACUGAAUGACGUGACUCCUUCUCUGAUUUACCCAAACGAGAAAAGUUUGGAACAGUGUGCAGCUGGAUCAGAGAAUUUUUCAGACAAAGCCCUAGAAAAUGUGGUUGUUUUCUUUCGGUGGGGUUUGAAGUUGUUGAGAGAAGAAGAGAGAGCUUGAUUGGCCUGUUCUGCGUAGACAACGACGACGACGAUGAAUCAGAGGCUGCUAAGUAGUGUUCCUCUACUUCACGGUGUAGAUUUAUUUCUCAAGUUUCAAAUGAAGGCUGGACCGUUCGAUGAGAUGACUUGAUACAUCUGACGGUCAACAUAAGCAAAAUAUAAAACCUGUAAGUGGUAAUUAAUUUUAUGAAUAUUAUGAAUGAAUGAAAUUAAAAAAAAACAGGAUGCAAAUGAAUGGAAUAAAGAAAGUCAUAGAAUUAUAAAGAAAAAAAAGAAUUUCAUUCCAUCUUAUUGCAUUUUAUUUAUGAGCUUUUUAGUCAUAAAUGUUUUAUGACUAUUUCAUUUUAUUCUAUAUGAAUCAUUAGAAUGAGAUUUGUCUUUUUAUUCCAUUUAAAUGGUAGUGUUUUUUUUUUUUGAAAUCUAGGGGAAUAAAUCCAUUCUUUACAAUUCUAUUCUAAAAAUUAGUACUCCCUCCGUUUUUUAAUAUAAGUCGUUUUACAGCUAUGCACGUAGAUUAAGAAAACUAUUAAUUUCUUAUAUUUUCUAAACAAAAAUAUCAUUAAUUAUUUACAUAACCACAAUUCAACCAAUAGAAAAAUAGAAGAUAUAUUACCAUUGGUCGUACAACAUUAAUUAUUAAUAAAUUUUACAUAGAAAAACGAAAACGACAUAUAAUUUGGAACAAAAAAAUUUGUCUAAAACGACCUAUAUUAAAAAACGGAGGGAGUAAUUCUCUUGUACCUAAAGAAAGAUUUGAGAGAGAUAGAAAAAAAAAGCCUAAAUAACUCCUCACAUCUAUAAUCCACUUGCUAGCACGAUCACACAUGAUAGACCAAACACUCAACGUGAUUGAGAUUAGCGUAAGCUGUCAUGCCUUGAAUCGCAUCUUUACUACCAAACGUCUAUCUUAGUGAUCAAGAACGUGGUUUCAGCUGAAAUUUUGGGUUGUGUGCAUCACUUUGCAAAGAAUUUAACAUUAUUCAAACAUUUUGAAGAGAAUGUCUGUAAAAUUACAAAGGAAGGAAUAACAAAAAGCUUUGAGAAUUACAAAGUGUAUUUUCUUUCUUACACGUCAAAAUUCAAAUGCAAAAAGUCACAGAGAUUCUUUUUAACUCUCGUCGUCCAUAACUUUGUUGUUACCAUACAAACUAUCUCUUCUAUUACCAAACCCGCUUGAAUCAAGCCCCGACCCGCCUCGAUAGUUGUUAUGAUCCUGUGCCGUUGUUCUAUACCCUCCUCCAUCCACCGGAGCUCUCGAACUCUGGUCGUUACGAUACGGCGACGCACCAACGUACCUUCUCCUUAGAUCCAUGAGGUCAUCGCUUCUUCUAGCAGGCUCAGUAAAACUCGGCUCUUUCGCCGAGCUGUUCUGUCCCGCAGCCGUCGGAGUAAAAGGAUCAUCUGGUCCCCAAGCCGUGAGAGAUUCUUUCUUCUUGGCGAAAAAAUGCCAAGCUCCGAAGAGAAACAGUAUGAAGAAGAACACAGGACUGCUCCAAAGCAUUGUGUUGAACUCUCCUUUGAGACUCGGAAGCUUCGACUUGUAAACACCGAAGUACCCGUCUCCUAAACCCAUCACAAGAAGAUUCUCUCUGUCGCUAGCUAUCAAAGGCCUCGCCUUUACACCUACAUUUCUUGAAGAUGACUGACGAUGGCUCAAGAACGAGGAUCUGAUCUCUUCCAAACCAGCUGAGAACAAGAGACGAGGACCAGCGGUUCGUACGUAAUGCUGAGUCGAUACAUUAAAAGCGAAAACUUUGUCCUCGUUGAUCACAAGAAGGUAGCCUUUGAUUGAUUGUAACGCGACUGGCUCCUCCAUUUGAAACUUCUUCUUGGAUCUAACUCUGCAUUUGAAGUUCAUUAUAUCUCCGUGAAGCAGCACGUGAAUGAUCUCGCCUUCUGAGGUGAAUCCGUAAGCUUUGGACCGUUCGGUCGCGUCGAAAACGUAGCUUCUCGCAAGAGAAUGGUUUAGUCCUUCGCACUCGGUUUCUCUAAUCUUCAUGCUCCUCAAGUCCAACGAACCGGCGCCAGACUCGGUGAGGAACAACAGCCUCUGCUUCAAGAACACUAGCGGUCUACUCGUCGGGAUAACCGAACCGUAAACCGUCCGGUUCUCGGUUAAAACCGUCAGCUUCCCGCUAAGAUCCGUGGCCAAAAUGUACCUAACACGUCCCACGUGGUGCACUUCCAACAGAGUGACGGGAUCAGCGGAAUCAUCAACAUCGAAAGCCCCAACGUGUUCCAUCGAGACCGAGUUGGAGUUCCAGUCUUCUCCACUCGAUCCCUCGUGGAUCCGGUGGAACAAAACGGCGCCGUUUUGGUGACCAGUGACGAAGAAACUCGAGUUCUUAAACAUGGAAAGAUACGAAACCAUAGCUGUAACGGGCGAAUCAACGGUGGUGAAGAACUCGAUCAAAACGUCGCCGUUUCUCAAGAACACGUAAACUCUACCUCUAGAGUCCCCGAUCGCGAAGUACUUGCUCGAGCCUUCGAAGUCUUUAAACGGCAGCACGUUGACACACGUGGCGUCUGAGUCGAGCUUCACUGCCGAUGUGAAGGAGAAUCUCUCCGUCCAGAAAGGACUGUACUUAGUCACUGAGAACGCCUUGGCUCUUCCUCCUCCUCCUCCGACGAAGGCUUCAUCAUCUGAUUUAGAGAUCUCGUUCUUCGAUUCGGAUAACUUAGCGUCUAGAUUAGAGACGAUCUCGGUCAGAUUCUUGACGAGUUCCUCGAGCUUAUGCAGUAGAGCAUCUUCUCGGGUGGGUUCGGUAACCGACGCAGCUACAUCGGUGGAAGUAACGUCUUCGGUCGAAUCAACGAUAGCCGGAGACUCGUUGGCGUCCGACGGCGAGAUGAAAAGCAGAGUGAGGGUGAUUAUAAAGUAGAAGGUGAGAAAGAAGGACUUGCCGUUUCGAGGAUCUGCCAUUGGAAGUGAUGAAAAAGUGAAGUCCUUUUUCGGCGUGUCUGAAUCAGUGAGUAACCGCCAUAUAUGUAGAUCUGUAGGAGGAGAUGAUGAGUGGUUUAGGAUCUGGAAGGAGAACUGGUUGGAGUUUAACUGAGAUUUUGUUUUGGGUUUGUUUAUUAAGAAAAAUAAUUGUCCGAAAGAAGGAGACUUUUAUGUCCGAGAUUUGAUCCGGUCGUCUUCAGUCACGGUGAAGCUUGGAGCUACGAAAAGCGGAAAAGAUCUGAUACAUGUCUUUUAAGAUAUUUUUGAGACUCUUUUUUUUUGACAUCAGCAUUCAACAAUCACAAAUUUAAUUGGUUAAUUUUGUGGUUGGUUGUAUAUGUUAAUUUUGUCUUUAAGGUAUAUGACUAAAUCAGUAAUUAUUAUUAUCUUUUGGAUCAAAAAUUGAAACUACCUUCACGGAAAUCGAACUCAUAAAGUAUAUCAACGAAUGCCUGGCUUGUGAAUUGAUAGAUAGAUAGCCAUAUUAGAGAAAAGGCAUCGUAAGACGUUAUCUCUUACAGAAAUAGAAGUUAUAAAUUAAUUAAUGUAAAAACGCAUAUUCAACUGACUGUAAAACGCAUAAAUUGGUUUUUGGAUUUAAAACUUUUUUGCUUGUUUCAGGUUAAAUCAAUUUACUUCACGAACUAAACAAUAAUAUCACAGAUAUCAUUAAGUUUUUCGCCGCCGACCCUUUUACAUGGCCACAUUUAGAAAUAGAAUUAGAGAAAAGCUCACAUGCUGAUAGGCGACAAGAUCCACAGACUCUCCACGUGAAGUUUAUUGGUCACAGUGAAGCAAAGCCCUCGAUCUUUCCACAACACAUUGUCCCAAUGCUCAUACAUAGACAAUAUUCCACCCAAUCUCAUACGAGAUCUCGUAAACUUGUUUUCAAUUUAAAGACCAACCAAAAUCGAAUGUAUCAAAACGCUUUCUGUGUUCGGUCAUUGAAAAAGAGAAAUGUGAAAUGAGGAGAAAGAGGAGUGUCUGAAUAGCCGAGGAGACUGCCUACAGCCUAACCAACUCAGAGACUAUCGAUAAAGUCUGUGAUAUGGUGUUAAGACGCAGGCAAGUCAUCCUUGGCUACCACACAACUUCUCAUUCUUCAUGUCACCGUUUCUCUUUAUUUGUUUUUCCCUUUGUUGUGAAGUUGUUGAUGUGUUUACACUCUACUACUAUGUAUAUAUAUAGGCCUGACGGCAUGAACAUCUAGUGGACACAAAAUGUUUGACUCAACUUGUGUGCAUGGCGGUGUUGGAAUAUGUUCUUAAAGAUUUGGUACUGGAAUGGUCUGAUAAGUAUAACAAGUUGGCUAACCAUAAUUAAAUAUUAGAACUUUGAAGAACGUUGUUUAAGUGUUGGAGGUCUAUAUUCACAUGUGAUAUAUAGUGUUUAGAAGAACAAAAGCAAUUCAAAGUGAUAUUUUCACUAUGAUAACUAUCAAACAGUCUAGCUACCAAAAUAAUAUCAUUAUAAUAUGACGAUUGAUAAUCCAUUAUAGACACAACCACUUGAUUUUCUCAGUUUAUAACUGUGUUUAUUCAUCUAGAUAGAUGGACGACAUGUGAACGAUUUGUUAUCCUUGUCUAAGUUUAUAUUUCUUCUGCCAGACAGAGUAAACAAGCGACAUCAAUAGACAGGUCAUCAACCAAUCUAUCACUCCUCCUACGGUUGUGUUUAAGGACAUCAAUAGACAGGUCAUCAACUCCAACAACGCUCUGAGAAACAGGAAGAAAUUCAGGAACCUCAUGACUUUUUAGUUGAUUUAAUUCUUUGCUAAAUAGCUUUCGGCCUUUUGCAUCUUCAAGGGACUCCUUUGGACUCCAUUUUGUUGUUUCACUCUACCAAUUACCCUGUUUUAUUACUUUCUUUUUGCCAGGGUGUUGUUGUUGUAUAGAUUAGUCUCUUUUGUAAGAAACAAUCUCUAUCUUUUAUGAUAAUUAACAUUCUUUGCAAAAAAAAAAAUUCUUUUGUUCCUUCGUGGACCACCUUGACUUAUUCUCCAAAAUCUGUCCGUAUCAUAAAUAUGGUUAUUUUUUGUAUAUACAGACUAAUUACUGGAAUAUAUAAAAGACUUCAAACAAAAUCUGUAUACAAAUUCUACUAAAUAUGUGUGUUUAACAUAACACGGGGAUAUAGUUUUUUUUUUGUCCCAAUAAACUCGAACUAACCCAUAUCCUUCUUCCAAAAAAAAAAACUUGUUUACAUAACAGAGUUGUUGGUUAAUAUCAACAUACCCGCAUAUCACAAAUAUACUGAUGGUCGCCUCUAUGUGUGUUUUUUUCUACUCUUCUUAUUACAUAUGUUUUCUAAAUGCUUAAAUAGCAUGAAAUAUGCUUUGAAGCCUAAUCUUCUCUACCGGGUCAAUACCCUUUUUUUUCACUAGUUGACUACUAGUGUAACUGGGACCAUACAGAUAAGAACAUUUAUAAAAGUCAUGGUGGCAUAUGAAUUUGUGUAGUAAACAUGGAAUAUAUGGAGAUUUCUGUGAAUACUAGCUAUAUUGAAAUAUAAAUUAUAGUAUUAUUCUCAUUUCUAUUCAGAGCUAGCAAUAAGGAAUGUACCAUCAUGAGAGAUGUUGGGAAACGAAAGCUGUCGCCCAUAUAUAUAGGAUAUUGCUUUAUUUUCCUUUUACAAUAUUUUGGUAUGUAGGACUUGUAUGAAUGAUCUGAGAAAAGACACAUAAUCAAGAAUGUAGCUAUUAGAAUAGUAAUCACCAGUCAGCCUUGUAUAUGAAACUUAUAUUAUAUUACCAACUUAACACAUGGGACAGCUAAUCUAUAAAUUAGUGUAUUAAUAAUAUAUAUUCCAGUGUUAGUGAUAUUUGCACAAAUCGUUGGUAUGUUUAGUUAACUUAUAGAACAUUGUAUUUGUGGUUUUUAGAUUUUAUAGGCCAGGCGGCCUGCUAUACGUUUAUAUUAUCACGAAUUAUGCAGCUUUUACUUUUUGUACAGCACUGAUCGAGAUCCAGCUCAUCAAACGAUUAUAUUUGUACGCGUAAUCUGGAUGAUCAAGGCGAAGUCAAUUAGACGUAAAAGUUAUAUAGGUUGUUGCAUCUGUCUGUCUUAAAUAUCUGUGUACCAGUAAAAAUCCAACAUUCGUGGAUACGGUAUGCCUUUUAAGUUUAGAAAAAUUUAUUUUUUUCUAGAUAAGUAUGUAUUCCUAAAGGAUAAAAGAAAUCGGGUUUUAAGCCUGUUAUAAAUAUGAGUCUAAAGAUUUGUAAGAUUAUUAAUUCACACAAUAAUAAAAAACCUUAAACGUGUAUUUGUCUCAAUACGUUUUGUUCUCUAUUGUCUUCUUACUUAAUUUGUGGCUGUUCACAACAUAGGUGAAAAGCAUUUUUUUUUCUCUAUUGUCUUCUUACUUAAUUUGUGGCUGUUCACAACGUAGCUGAAAAGCAUAUAUUGUUCCUAUGAAAUAUAAUUAUCAAAAAACGAUGGUCUAAAGUAUUCCAGAAAAAAGUAAUAAAACCAAAAUGGUCGAUGAUAUACACUUGAUAUCAAUCGAAUAUUUCGUGGACUCAUUCCCGGCGUAAAUUUUACAUAUGGACGAUUCUUUAUGGAUAUGUUAUUGUUGGUUUCCACUUCCAUGCAUGUAAUAUAAUAAUAACUAGAGCUUGACCCGCGCAUCCGCGCAGGUGUUAGUUUUUUGAUAAAUGAAUAUUUAUUUGUAUAAGUGAUAAUAUAUAUUUUAAAAUUUACCCGUUUAAUUUUUUUUUAAUAUGACAUUUAUAAACACAAUAAUUUUAUAGUUUAUAUUGAGUAGUUUUAUUUUAUCAUGUAAACCCUUAAUAAUAUCAUCCAUUUAUUUAGAAUACGACCUGUAAAAUCACACAAAUGUAUUUUUAUUUUUUAUGGAUCAAAAUUUUAUGAUUAUAUAUAAUAAAAUUAUUGUAUAAACUGUUUUUAUGGAUCAAAAUUUUAUGAUUAUGUAUAAUGAAAUUGUUGUAUACUAUUUAUUAUGUAUAUGUGGAAUUAGUAAAAUAAUUACCGUAUAAUGUAUGUAAUUACGAAAUGUAUAUAUGGAAUUAAUUAUUUUCAAAUACACAUAUGUAUAAUAAAAAGGAAAAGACAAAAAAUAUUAAAAGUUAGGUUUAUUAAUUAUUGUUGCCAUGAUUUUUUAGUUAGAAUUUGAUUUUGGAAAUACAUUAAUUGAAGAGAAAAGACAAAAAUCCUAAAAGAUAGGUUAAUUAAUAACUUCAGUGGCAUGCCAUUGUAAAUAUAGUGGAAAACUAAGGGAUAAUCUAAUUUUGUACUCCUAUUUUAAUAGAUUAGAUAUUCGAACAUGGGCAUAUAUAAUCAAACAUGUUGGACUCUACAAAUUUCUAUAUCUGCCUACAUAUUUCUUAUAGAGCCAUGCAUGGAUCACAAACAAGUUACCGGUCCAAACGAAAGGCAAUCUUAUGAGAAGUAAAAUCGAAAGAAAACACCUUUACAGUGCUUGGGUUUCCGGCAAAGAGGUCAAAACACAUUUUUUUUAGACCAAAAAAAAAUCGAAAGAAAAGAAAGCACAUGAAGUUUAGAGUGCACAUAUGUACAUACAUGUAUAUAAACAAACCCAAUAUAUAUCAAUCCAUCUUUCUUGAUGAUUUUAGUUUUCUAUUGUGAGAUUGCAGUGAUGAUCAGUAGGACUUUUUUUUUUUUUGGUAAAAUAGUAGGACUGUUUUCCUUGGUUAUUUUAAUUACAUCUCUUUCUCGUUAUAUCACAUCUUAUUUGAUACGCUUGCGUUUAGACGAACUUUUUUUUUUUUGAUAAGUCGUUUAGACGAACUUUAUGUUUUGUUUGAGAUGUUUAACAAUGUGAAGCAUCUCCAAAAUAACAUUGGAGACGUGGAAUGAACUUUUGUAUGUAUAUCAAAAUUCUUUGCAUUGUACAAACAAAAACUUGUACAUACGUUGAUACUGCUAGAAUCACACCAUGAAUGGACUGAGACUUAUUUGACUUAAUACCCCAUUAGAGCCAUUUUACAACAAAACACCGAUCAAGUUGAUGUUCCAGUCAGACGGUAGUACGGUAUAGAAUAUCAGGCUCGCUAAGUUUCAUUAAUUCUUUUUGAGGACUGUUUGGACACGAAGACCUCUUUAUCCACCGUCUGGAUUGGCUAUAGUAAAUCCAUAUGCAAACUAUAUAUAUACUAUUAUUUGAAAAGUGAAUUUGCUUAUUUGUCAUGUUCUCCAUGAUUUUAGGCUGAGUUAUUAAACAAUUUUAAUUUGACUAAUUAAAGUUUUGAUAUCUAAUAAAUAAAUUAUAUAAUUAAUUAUUUAACUGAUUACAAACUAAUAUUAUAAAAAUAUCUCAAAAAUAAAUGGAAAACGUUUUUAAAAAAGAAGAUAAUUCCAUGUAUUUAUUUUGUGUUUAUCUACAUCUUUAUUUCUUAUAUAUAUAUUUUUAUAAUUAGUAUUAUAUAUACACAUAUCAUUUUUCAUUUAUAUACAAAAAUUAAUGUUUGUAAACAUAAUAUGUCAUGGGAUAUUUUUAAAAAUUAUUAAAUUUAUUUUAGUAUUAAAAUAUUAAAAAGAAAUAUAUAAACAAUAGCAAUAAAUUUGAUUUAUUGCUGUUUGUUAACCUGAUUUUUGGGAUAUUUUCAUUUUUAUUCUUAUCACUAAUUUGCAAGAAUAACUUGUAUUUGUUAUUUAAGUUGAAAAUUUAAUAUUUCUUUUUUUAUAUUUAUUAAAUAUUUAUUGUUAUCAAUUAUCAUCCAGUUGCAAGAAUAACUUUCAAAAAAGAAUAUUUUCAAAAUAUAUGUAUAUUUUUACAACAAGUACCUUAUAUUUAUGAAAAUUUAAAAUUUACUUUUAAUUUUUCAAGAGUUUCAAAGAAUUAUAAUUUUGUUUAAAUUAAAAUUUCCUUAAAAGACCAUUAUGUAAAUAAAAAUCUGAUUCUAUUAUUUUUUAUAAAAAAUGUAUUUUCCAAAAUAUUUGUCUUAGUUAUAAUUAUUAAAGUUUGAAAGUUAAAAGACGAUUUGAAAAUAACAAACUAUGAUUUACAAUUAAAAAUAUUAUUUUAUAGGAAAAUAGUAAUCUCUAUUUUAAAGUAAAAACUAUGGAUUGACUAUAGCUUAUUGUUCUCUAUUAUAGCAUUUAGAAAUAAAAACAACAAUAGAUAAAAAAAUGUUCUUAUCUUAUACAUUACAUAUUAAUGUUUUGUUUCUCAACAUAGUUGGUCUGCUUGAGUGUUAAUUCAGUUAUUAUAGGAAGUAACAAUAUAAUUAAUUAAUUAUACAUAUAUCAAUAUUCUUAUUUACUUUGACUAAUAUAAUAUGUAAAGCUGAGUUUGGUUUAACAUUCUUGUGUUUUUGAUUUAUUUUGAGAUUUUGUAGUUUAUGCUAAUUCUUAGAAUUUGGUUUAAUAACAUCACUUUAUAUUAACAAUUAUAUAUUUGUUUAUUUAAUUAUAUCAUUCUUUAUAAAUCUUAUAUAAUAAAAAUAUGUUUAAGAUAACAACAUAUUUUAAAAUACAAGAUAUUAAUGUUGUUAUCCAAAAUAAUGUUUUAAAAUCAAUAAAAUUAAGAAAUUAAGAAAUUGAAACAUUCAUAAAAUAGUAUAAAUUUAUUUUUUUAUUUAAUUUUUGAUCUUUAAACUAAUAGUAUAUUUAUUAAUAAAUAUUUAUUAAAUAAAUAUGUCCGCAUGUGCGGACAAAACUCCUAAUUUUCAUUAUAUUUAGUUAGAUUUUUAGUUAAUUAAUUAAUAAUUGAUUUUUGAAGAUUUUCGUGAUCUAUUUAAAUUUGGUAGAAGAUAUAAAUGUUUUAACAUAUUUUUUAUCACAAUAAGUUUUUUAAAGAUAUUAUAUCCUGUUUUAAUAAAACAAAUAACUAUUAUUGUUGGAAAAGAAAAUUAUAUAGCAAUCAAAUAAUUUAUUUUAAUAAGUUAAUAAAUAUGGAUUAUAUCCCAAUUAUUUGCUCAAAAUAAAUAAAGUAAUUAGUUGACACAUCAAGAACUAUAUACUCCCUCUGUUCCUAAAUGAUCCAUGUUUUGGAAAAAACAUUUGUUUCAAAAAGAUGUAUAUUCUAUGUUUUCUAUGAAAAAAUUGCAAACUUUAAGAAAAUUAAUUGGUUUUAUUAGAUUACUAUUGGUUAAAAGUUGUUGAAAAUUGAAAAUUACAGAAAACGAUAAAUUUAUUAUAGCUAUUUAAUGCGUUUUCUUAAUAUGUGUGAAAACUCUAAAAAAUCUAUCUUUUAGGAACAGAGGGAGUAUUAGGAAGAUAAAUCCUAUAUACUGUCAACAAGUAUUAAAAGAGAAUCUUACAUUAAGAGAAUAUUAUGACACGUGAGCUUUCCAAAAUUAAUUUAUUUUGCCAACUUAAAUCACGCGCGAAUGUUUAACCGACUUUGCUCGUUAUAUUUCAUCUUUGCCGUUGAUUAAUUUACACGUCCAACAAUUUGAGACCGUAGGAUCUCUCUGAUAUCCCCGAAAUUUGAAACCGACUCGGGAUACUGGGGUUCUAUAUAAGAAGUGGUCAACUUAUUAUUCCUUUGCACCCAAAUCUCCCGCUAAUUAGGCGAUGGUUCUCUUGUUAGGGUUUGGCCUCAAUUUUUCCCGGUCCUUCAUCGAGGUACGUUCUUGUCUAUUCCUAGGUUUUCUCGAUUUCUGGUUCCUACUGUUUCUGACUCUUUCGGGUAUUGUGUUGGAUCUCGUCGAUGCAGUUGCGUUACUUUUGGAGAUUCGUAUUUCUAUAGGGAUGGAAUAAGAGCGGAGAGGGGUAAACGAGAUCUGAUCAAGUCUCGUUGAUCAACAAACCACGACAAGUCCUUGUGUAACUCUUGCACAUGUUUUGUUUGGGCUCUCAAACGGAAAAAGAAAGUAGUUAGGGAUGUAUAUGACCUUUGCCAUGACAGGUGCGCUUGCUUGGCAGGUCACAAACCCUUAAUAAAAAGUGAGUUUUUGUUGUGCGGAGGAUUGGGAGAUGGUACGGGAUUGGUUUAUUUUCUUUCUUCUGCCCGGCUCUCCCUUCCUCCGGUCUGUGUGUGUGUGCGCCUGUGUCUCUCUUUUUACUUUCUUGCUCAUUCAUAUGCUUCUUGCAUACCACGAACAUGCUACUUGCAUACCACGAACAUGCUUCUUGCAUAACCCGAACAUGCUUCUUGCAUACCACAUUAUGCUUCUUGCAUAACCCGAACAUGCUUCUUGCAUGCACGUUAUGCUUCUUGCAUAACAAGAACAUGCUUCUUGCAUACCACAUUAUGCUUCUUGCAUAACCCGAACAUGCUUCUUGCAUGCCACAUUAUAUAUGCUUCUUGCAUACCACAUUAUAUAUGCUUCUUGCAUACACACAUUAUGCUUCUUGCAUACCACAAAGAGUAUCACAGACCCAACUGUGGCAUCAAUUGUGUCUCUCUAAUAUGCGGCUUGCAUAUGAACGAAGAGAAUCACUGAGCAUCACUUGUGCUCUUUAUAAUGAUUCUUGCAUGUGCUAAUGGGAAGAACGAACCUGACAUUGAGCCUUGGAUGACCAAAACGAUGGUUAUUAUCUGUAAAUCUUUUUCUCUCAGAAACAUAUUAAAGAAGUAAAGUGAAAACUAGUCACAAACUGGGUCAUUGCAUUUUUAGUUAAGUGCGGUUUAUUUUGCGUCCUCCAGUUCAGAUUGGGUACGUGGCUAGGAUUAUAAAGAUAUAUGUAUAAAUAUUAAUGAUCAAAGGUUUGGCUCAAGUAAUUGUUGUUCUGAUGUAUCUGUGGUGUACUGUGGGUAACACUUAAUGUGACUAUGCUUGUUAGUAUUUUUACCAUCGAGUUAUUCUAAAGCGAUGGAUGUGUUUCAAGAAUGGCGGGCAGGACGAUGGAAACUGAAUCUAUAAAAGCUGAACAGUUGUAAGGAGGUUGGUAUCUGUAUAAUUUGGGUUUGCAAGGAUUUUUCGUACACACUAUUAUCCAACGGUAACGUUUUUGGCCAAGAAAAUACUAAGGCAUUAAUGCGUUGUUCAUGGCUCUCUUUUUUCCUUUAAUCAUUGCCCUUUUUCUGGUACAGAACUUCAUAUUAUUUGAUGACUAUUGUCUGAAUGUUACUUGUCCUAAUUGCGCAUGCAUGCCUGCCUAAGAUUCCUCUUUCGUGUCAGGUACUUAUUACGUAAUGACCAUCUAAAGUGAGCAAGCCUUCGUCUGUAUAUAUUCUUUUGGAUGCAAACGAGAGACUAAGAAAGUGGACCUAUCAGCUCAGAUGAGAAAGUACAAUCUGCAAGAAAGUUCGGAGGCUUAAGGUGGCUGUAACCUAUUUGGUUCCUUUUGCUCUUUUUUUUUGUUUAUUCUCUUUUCAAAGAGAUCAAGAAAAACUUAUAGGCUUGGAUGGCAUAGAUAAUAAGGAUACAUGUAUUGUUUUGUGUAGUAGUACUUGAAUGAAACUUGUGGUUGUCUAGGAUAGUCAUGGCUUUUUUUGUGUACAUCUGAGUAUGCCUCCUCAAAUGUGGGAAAGCCUUAAUACUGUAAAAUCUAGAUAAGUUUGAAAGAUAAAAGACAAGAGUUUGAUAAAAGCUUUUAGAGUACGAGGUUGUAAUUAAGUUCAGCAUGUAGAAAGAUCGCCCUAUGUCUUUUACAAAUAACAAAGAAGCAGAUUGUUAAAUGAAGAAAAAUAAACGCAAACCACAACCACAUCUAAUUAAAGCACAACAAAUGCCAAACCUUGGAAAGUGAUCAGAGUUACCUUCACUUUUUACAAUUCACCAUGUGGAAGGAGGAAACAAUGGUUUAACAUCUGAAGAUGAAGGCGAAGCGACAAUACUGAAGGCUGGAGCAGUAACACCAGUGGUCCAUGAAUCAGCAAUCUCUAUCAUAUUCAUUCCUUCUUCCUCUUCAUCAUCAUUAUCAAUGUCAUUUUCAAUCUUUACCAAUGGAUCCUCUGGAGAUGAACAUAUCUUCUCCAACUGGGCAAACACUUCUCUCAUAUAUGGCCGCUUCUUCCCCUUGUUGAGAUGAAGAGAUCAAGCUAUAUGAAAGAAGGAUAUCAAAGGUACCAGACUUGAGAAGUUAGGCACCAGACUUGAGACUGUUGCUAAGGCACCAGACUUGAGAAGUUAGGCACCAGACUUGAGACUGUUGCUACAGUACUCGGCCCAGAAAGGAAGAAGCCCAUGACAGCCUUUCUCAAGCUCUUAAAACCCUUGUAUCCUCUCUAUAUAAACUUUAUAAUCUCUUCAUUAAGAUUUAAGCAAGAUAAUAAAAAGUCUCUGGUCAUCUUUGAAUUCUCUCUCUAGCCUUUAAUCUCAUUUCCAAAUCUCAUUAAUCUCCAAUCUCUAAUCUCUAAUCUCUUUAAUAAUCCUCUCAAAUCUCUUUCUAAUCUCAUUUAUUAUUCAAGAUGUCUAUAAAUCUUAUGGUAUCAGAGCCUGGGUGAAUGUUCUUGAGUUCUUGAGUGUUCUUGAGAUUAUCCAAGGCUAGAUCUUUGAAAAUCUCAAGAAAGUUUCUGUUGGUGUUUUUACUGAAGAACUAGCCUAAAGCUGGUUUCUUUGGUGGUUUGGAGAGCUCAGAUCCGUGUUCAAGCUUAAAGGUCAAGUCUUUGAAGUGUAUUGGUGCUUUUGUGUACAAACUGAGAGGUCUUUGAGGUGUUCUUAAGGAUCUAAGUGAAAAAGUUCAAGUCUUUUCAAGCUAGUGGGUUACUAGAGUCAAGAUUGAAGCUUUUUGAAAGAUGGAAGAUAGUGGUGGAGUCUACAUGAAGAUUGCUACCAAGUUCAAGGGAAACAACUACCUUGUGUGGUCUAGGAUGGCCAGGAAUGCUAUUGGAGGCAAGGGAUUGCUCAAACAUCUCACAUCCAGUGUGAUUCCAAAGCAAGAGAUCAAAGAAAAGGAGGAAGAAGAUGACGAAAGUGAGACUGCCUAUGAUAAAUGGCAACAAGCUGAUUAUAUGGUGAUUAAUGCUCUUCUUGCCUCCUUGGAUCAGAACUUGAUGGAUGCUUAUAGCUACUGUGAUACAGCUAAAGAACUUUGGGAUACAUUGAAGCAAAUCUAUGGAAACACCUCAAAUCUCAAUAGGGUCUUUGAGGUGAAGCAAGCUCUCAAUAGUCUAGUACAAGAAGAUAUGGACUUUGAGAAGCAUUUGGGCAAGUACAGAGCACUGUGGUCUGAACUAGAGAUGUUGAGGCCAAAUACCAUUGAUCCAAUGGAGCUUAACAAGAGAAGGGAGCAGGAUAAAGUCUUUGGACUGCUUCUCACUUUGAAUCCAGCAUAUGGAGGGUUCAUUCAGCACAUGUUGAGAGAUGAGACUCUACCUAACCUAGAAGAGGUGUGUGCUAGGAUCCAAAAGGAAUAUGGGAACAUGGAGCUAUUUAACAAGAAGGGAAAGGAGCUAGCUUUGGCAAAUCAAGCAGCGCAAGCUCAAGGAGAUCAGGGAGAACUUGCACAAGCUAACAAGGCCAUCCAUGGCAAGUAUGAGAAGUUUGGUGGGAGUUGUGAUCACUGCAAGAAGCAAGGCCACAAGAAGAGCCAAUGCUGGAUCCUACAUCCUCAUUUGAAGCCAGCCAAGUUCAAAGAGGCCAAAGCUCACAUGGUGGAGAGUAGUGGUGGUGGUGCAAGCAAGAAACAGGCUGGAGAGAUGGAUAAUGGGAAGUCUUUGGUGGCUUAUACUGGUGGUCCUAGUUCUAGAGGCAGCACUAGUGGUGAUGAAUACUUGAAGAGAUCAGACUUGGAUGUUCUCAUCAAGCUCUUCAAGGAACAUGGUAACACCCUUGCAUACUCUCAUGGAGCUUCUAUGAUUGCUAGAACUGAUAGGUUACUAGAGGACUCAUUUGACAUGUAUAAUCAUCUUAGAAAGGGUAUCUUUGAUAGGAUUGAUCAUGCAUAUGAUUCUGCCCAUGCAUAUAAGCCCUCUAGUAUACUAGCGCAUCUAGCUAACUCCACAUCUAGUUCAUAUAAGCCUCUCAUUGUUGAUUCUGGUGCAUCUCAUCACAUGAUAAGUGACACUAGAUUGAUUAACAACAUUGAACCUGCUCAUGGUAAUGUGAUGAUAGCCAAUGGUGCUAAAAUUCCUAUUAAAGGAAUAGGAGAGCUCAAGCUAUUUGAUAAAGAUUCCAAAGCGCUUUAUAUGCCUG
rnacentral:lncRNA from 1 species